GAUGAACGCUAGCGGCAGGCUUAAUACAUGCAAGUCGAGGGGUAGCAAGAUUGUAGCAAUACAAUUGUUGACGACCGGCAAACGGGUGCGGAACACGUACACAACCUUCCUACAAGUGGGGAAUAGCCCAGAGAAAUUUGGAUUAAUACCCCGUAACAUAGCGAUGUGGCAUCACAUUGCUAUUAUAGCUUCGGCGCUUGUUGAUGGGCGUGCGGCUGAUUAGAUAGUUGGCGGGGUAACGGCCCACCAAGUCUACGAUCAGUAGCUGAUGUGAGAGCAUGAUCAGCCACACGGGCACUGAGACACGAGCCCGACUCCUACGGGAGGCAGCAGUAAGGAAUAUUGGACAAUGGACGCAAGUCUGAUCCAGCCAUGCCGCGUGAAGGAUUAAGGUCCUCUGGAUUGUAAACUUCUUUUAUAAGGGACGAAAAAAGGUCUUUCUAGAUCGUCUGACGGUACCUUAUGAAUAAGCACCGGCUAACUCCGUGCCAGCCGCCGCCGUAAGAC
rnacentral:rRNA from 1 species